CAGACCAGAUACAACAACCUGACUAAAGAGAGAGACCAGAUACAGACCAGAUACAACAACCUGACUAAAGAGAGAGACCAGAUACAGACCAGAUACAACAUCCUGACUACAGAGAAAGGCCAUAUUCAGGCAAAGCUUUUUGUGAUAGAGCAGCAUUGUCAGGAGGGAUGGAGAUACUUUGACUCCAGUUUGUACUUCCUGUCUACUGAGAAGAAAACCUGGAAGCAGAGCAGAGAGGACUGUAAGGGGAGAGGAGCAGACCUGGUGAUCAUAAACAGUAGAGAGGAACAGACAUUUCUCUUCAACCUCCACCUGAGAGCCUGGAUUGGUCUGACUGACUCUGUUACUGAGGAGAUCUGGAAGUGGGUGGACGGCACAACACUGACCACAGGGUACUGGGGGAAAGGACAGCCUGAUAAUGGUGGUCCGCUCCUUGGCAGGAGG